rnacentral:tRNA from 1 species
UCCGCGAUCGCUCAAGUGGUAGAGUCCGUAGCUGUUAACUACGGCGUUGUAGGUUCGAGUCCUACUCCCGGAGCCA